GAGGGUGUAGCUCAAGACGUAGAGCACAUGCUUAGCAUGCAUGAGGUCCUGGGUUCAAUCCCCAGUACUUCCU
rnacentral:tRNA from 1 species